GCGCUGGUGGUGUAAGGCGAACAUCGCUGCCCUGAAAGCAGAAGAUGCGGGUUCGAGUCCCGCCUGGCGCA
rnacentral:tRNA from 1 species